CUUCCCACCCCAUUCGGUGCUGUUGCUGUGAGAAGCCUGCUCCCCUUUCCCAGGUACUGACUGGAGAAGGGUACCUGCACCCUUUAAACUGGGUGCCAACAGCCAUCUGAGCCAUCAUCAGGCUGAGUCACUGUUACUCUGCAGAGCUGUGUUCUUUUCAUCACAUCACACCUCCUGCUGAGCACUUUGUGCCUAGAGAAGCAUACUAAAUGUUUACUUAAGAUUGAUUCUAGUGUUGACUUGAGGUGUUAAGAAAUAUACAAGGGAAAAAAUCAUUCCCAGUUUCCAGUUAAACUUACCUAAUGGGAAAAAAUAUAAAUAGAAUAGUUGUAUACAAACCAUAAAACAUCAACUCCUUAAAAACUGCACAGGGAGAAAAGUCCUCAAGA
rnacentral:lncRNA from 1 species